GAUUAAGUUAUUAAGGGCGCACGGUGGAUGCCUUGGCACUAGAAGCCGAUGAAGGACGUUACUAACGACGAUAUGCUUUGGGGAGCUGUAAGUAAGCUUUGAUCCAGAGAUUUCCGAAUGGGGAAACCCAACAUGAGUUAUGUCAUGUUAUCGAUAUGUGAAUACAUAGCAUAUCAGAAGGCACACCCGGAGAACUGAAACAUCUUAGUACCCGGAGGAAGAGAAAGAAAAUUCGAUUCCCUUAGUAGCGGCGAGCGAAACGGGAAGAGCCCAAACCAACAAGCUUGCUUGUUGGGGUUGUAGGACACUCUAUACGGAGUUACAAAGGACGACAUUAGACGAAUCAUCUGGAAAGAUGAAUCAAAGAAGGUAAUAAUCCUGUAGUCGAAAAUGUUGUCUCUCUUGAGUGGAUCCUGAGUACGACGGAGCACGUGAAAUUCCGUCGGAAUCUGGGAGGACCAUCUCCUAAGGCUAAAUACUCUCUAGUGACCGAUAGUGAACCAGUACCGUGAGGGAAAGGUGAAAAGCACCCCGGAAGGGGAGUGAAAUAGAACCUGAAACCGUGUGCUUACAAGUAGUCAGAGCCCGUUAAUGGGUGAUGGCGUGCCUUUUGUAGAAUGAACCGGCGAGUUACGAUUUGAUGCAAGGUUAAGCAGUAAAUGUGGAGCCGUAGCGAAAGCGAGUCUGAAUAGGGCGUUUAGUAUUUGGUCGUAGACCCGAAACCAGGUGAUCUACCCUUGGUCAGGUUGAAGUUCAGGUAACACUGAAUGGAGGACCGAACCGACUUACGUUGAAAAGUGAGCGGAUGAACUGAGGGUAGCGGAGAAAUUCCAAUCGAACCUGGAGAUAGCUGGUUCUCUCCGAAAUAGCUUUAGGGCUAGCCUCAAGUGAUGAUUAUUGGAGGUAGAGCACUGUUUGGACGAGGGGCCCCUCUCGGGUUACCGAAUUCAGACAAACUCCGAAUGCCAAUUAAUUUAACUUGGGAGUCAGAACAUGGGUGAUAAGGUCCGUGUUCGAAAGGGAAACAGCCCAGACCACCAGCUAAGGUCCCAAAAUAUAUGUUAAGUGGAAAAGGAUGUGGCGUUGCCCAGACAACUAGGAUGUUGGCUUAGAAGCAGCCAUCAUUUAAAGAGUGCGUAAUAGCUCACUAGUCGAGUGACACUGCGCCGAAAAUGUACCGGGGCUAAACAUAUUACCGAAGCUGUGGAUUGUCCUUUGGACAAUGGUAGGAGAGCGUUCUAAGGGCGUUGAAGCAUGAUCGUAAGGACAUGUGGAGCGCUUAGAAGUGAGAAUGCCGGUGUGAGUAGCGAAAGACGGGUGAGAAUCCCGUCCACCGAUUGACUAAGGUUUCCAGAGGAAGGCUCGUCCGCUCUGGGUUAGUCGGGUCCUAAGCUGAGGCCGACAGGCGUAGGCGAUGGAUAACAGGUUGAUAUUCCUGUACCACCUAUAAUCGUUUUAAUCGAUGGGGGGACGCAGUAGGAUAGGCGAAGCGUGCGAUUGGAUUGCACGUCUAAGCAGUAAGGCUGAGUAUUAGGCAAAUCCGGUACUCAUUAAGGCUGAGCUGUGAUGGGGAGAAGACAUUGUGUCUUCGAGUCGUUGAUUUCACACUGCCGAGAAAAGCCUCUAGAUAGAAAAUAGGUGCCCGUACCGCAAACCGACACAGGUAGUCAAGAUGAGAAUUCUAAGGUGAGCGAGCGAACUCUCGUUAAGGAACUCGGCAAAAUGACCCCGUAACUUCGGGAGAAGGGGUGCUCUUUAGGGUUAACGCCCAGAAGAGCCGCAGUGAAUAGGCCCAAGCGACUGUUUAUCAAAAACACAGGUCUCUGCUAAACCGUAAGGUGAUGUAUAGGGGCUGACGCCUGCCCGGUGCUGGAAGGUUAAGAGGAGUGGUUAGCUUCUGCGAAGCUACGAAUCGAAGCCCCAGUAAACGGCGGCCGUAACUAUAACGGUCCUAAGGUAGCGAAAUUCCUUGUCGGGUAAGUUCCGACCCGCACGAAAGGCGUAACGAUUUGGGCACUGUCUCAACGAGAGACUCGGUGAAAUCAUAGUACCUGUGAAGAUGCAGGUUACCCGCGACAGGACGGAAAGACCCCGUGGAGCUUUACUGUAGCCUGAUAUUGAAAUUCGGCACAGCUUGUACAGGAUAGGUAGGAGCCUUUGAAACGUGAGCGCUAGCUUACGUGGAGGCGCUGGUGGGAUACUACCCUAGCUGUGUUGGCUUUCUAACCCGCACCACUUAUCGUGGUGGGAGACAGUGUCAGGCGGGCAGUUUGACUGGGGCGGUCGCCUCCUAAAAGGUAACGGAGGCGCUCAAAGGUUCCCUCAGAAUGGUUGGAAAUCAUUCAUAGAGUGUAAAGGCAUAAGGGAGCUUGACUGCGAGACCUACAAGUCGAGCAGGGUCGAAAGACGGACUUAGUGAUCCGGUGGUUCCGCAUGGAAGGGCCAUCGCUCAACGGAUAAAAGCUACCCCGGGGAUAACAGGCUUAUCUCCCCAAGAGUUCACAUCGACGGGGAGGUUUGGCACCUCGAUGUCGGCUCAUCGCAUCCUGGGGCUGUAGUCGGUCCCAAGGGUUGGGCUGUUCGCCCAUUAAAGCGGUACGCGAGCUGGGUUCAGAACGUCGUGAGACAGUUCGGUCCCUAUCCGUCGUGGGCGUAGGAAAUUUGAGAGGAGCUGUCCUUAGUACGAGAGGACCGGGAUGGACAUACCUCUGGUGUACCAGUUGUCGUGCCAACGGCAUAGCUGGGUAGCUAUGUGUGGACGGGAUAAGUGCUGAAAGCAUCUAAGCAUGAAGCCCCCCUCAAGAUGAGAUUUCCCAACUUCGGUUAUAAGAUCCCUCAAAGAUGAUGAGGUUAAUAGGUUCGAGGUGGAAGCAUGGUGACAUGUGGAGCUGACGAAUACUAAUCGAUCGAAGACUUAAUCAA
rnacentral:rRNA from 1 species